CCGGACUGCUCGGGGUUAGGCUGGGCAUCGGUCAGCGAGUGGUUGCAAGAAAAAUAUUUGAAGUUUGGAAGAAGUCUGUCUGUACCCCUGGAUAUAUAGUUCUAUUCAGAUCUAGAAUGUUGGGCCCCAGCUCUGCCUGCAUCUAUUUUCUGAGCUUCAGUAUUUUCUACUCUAUGGCUCAAGUUUCUCAUUUGUAGGAUAGGAAUAAGUAUCCUUUUCUGGUUAUACAGAAGAUGUAAUUACAACUUAAUGAAAACUGACAGAAUUGCCAAUUUCAGCUGCAUAUAACUUAAAAGGAGAACUGGAAUUGUUAAUUUCUCAUCAAGAAAAAAAGCUGGUUUAGUACAUUAUGAUACAUUUGAAACAUUUCAACUGACUUUUUAUCAUAUGUAUUAUGAUCUAGUAUGGUAUGGAAUAGUACUGUAUGGUAUGUUAUGCAAUAUUAAAACACAGAAAUGGAAAGUAAUUUCAGAAGAAAGAGCCAAAGAAGAAAGAAAUAGCUAUUUCAACAAUGUCAAAAUGUAGUAUUUUGAAUUGUGAGAGCUUUUAUUCCAUUUUUCUUCAGAACAAUAUUAUAUUGAAGCUGACCCAAUUUUGUAAAGUGUUUCAUUUCUGAGUGAACUGUGCAUUCCUGAUGGGAAUAUGGUUUUGUCAAAGCCUCUUCUACUUCCCUGAAAAGUGCUGUGAAAUCUAAGAGCGAAAAGUGCUAUAUAAAGACCAAGAAUUACUAUAAUGGGUCUGAUCCCAACCAGGCUAAAGAUGGAUGACAGCUCAGGCUUCUUUUGGGGAGAGAGAAGGACUAUGAGGACUAUUAUAAUGUGAGGCUGCAUCCAUCUAGGUGUUCAGAAGAUCCCAAAAGAAUGGUGGGCCAUCACCCUGAAAAGAGAAGGAGAGGCCGAGUUUACACUUCUGUAACCUCAAAAAUGAAUUCAAUUAAGAGAGUAUUACUGUAAUUCACACAGCAAUUUGGACAGCUACUAACACUUGUGCGAGGAAGAUAAAGGUCAAACUAGACAAAGCUGCUGAGAAUCCCCAGAAAUGACGUAAGAAAGUGAGAACUUACUUUAAGAAAUUAAUUUGACUCAUUUAGAUCAGCAAUAUGAAGGCAGAAUGGAAAAAAAUAUAUAUAUAUGUUCCACAUUAAAGAAAUAAACACUUAUAGUUGUUCACUCAGUUUUACUAAUGUCUUUAAACAAAGGCAUUUAAUAAAACUGACUAACCAAAAAUACAUCUGCUGGAAGUUAAAAAAAAUAAAAAUAAAAUUGCUAAAUAUCAGUGAACAGCUAUUCUGGAAAAGUCUUCCAGCAGGCAUAGUGAGUGCAGAUUACAUAGGUAAUCUGAGAUUUUGUAGCUGUUUUUUGCUUUCUGGCUUUUGUUUUAAGAAUAAUUGUGACCAGUUUGUUAAUGACAUUAUACAUAACUUAUCUUCCCAUGACAACAGGGGACGGAAUCCUGUGAUAAAAUUCCAUUCCCAUCUUACAUGUUCCUAGAUAGUGAUAUAUACCAUUAAAACCAACAACCAAGAAACCCAAACAUCUCUUUGAUAGAAUGCCUAAAUGCAUACCUGUUAUGAAAUGGUUGAUACACUCAGAAAUUUUGCAGGUGAGACAUAUCCAAAUAUACACAAUUAACAACACUGCAGGUACUUUCCACAUGAUAAAACCAACUACAUAUAGCAGAACCUUGAGCUCAUUCAGGCAAGGAAAAUGGCUCUUAUGAAUUUUAUUUGAUUUUUCUGCUCCAGAUCCUUACUCUUGAACAUAUCUUAAUAAUUCAGUCGAACAACAGAUUUGUCUGUGUAAGACUGGUAAAGUGUUCUUUUCUACUAAGCAGUCAUUAGGCUGCCUGCCCUAAUGUCUAUGAUACAGAUGUAGAAUUCAAGGAACUUGGGUUUUAUUAUGUCAUUAAUUCAAUGCAAGAUUUUUGAACAAGUCACUCUCUUACAAUAAGAACUUUCAUAAUUUUGUGUUAUUCUAUGAAAAAGGUGGAUCAUAGUUGUCAUGUGCAUCCAGCUACUGUUUCCUUUGAGAAGUUCAGGUUUGUCUCCAUUGGAUAUAACAGGAGCUUAGACUGCUGGUCAGACUUACACAUCUAACUUUCAAACACUUCGGUUAGAUCAAUAUUUCUUGGAAAUAUAUAAUAUUUCCAAGAUUAUAAAAUUAUAUUUGCAUUUAGAGGUGGAAAUUCAUAUCCUCAAAAUCUUCAGUGCCUUCUCCCCCACCCUCUCCCUCCACCCCACCCCCUCCGGAUUUCAGUGUGAAAAUACUGUCUAAUUUGAGAGAGAAAUAACAUACAUAACAUUCAGAAAUUCAAACAAACAAGGAAAAAUCCCUAGAAAAGUUCAAAAUAAAUCAGAGCAAUCCAAGGUCAAGCAGUCUAGCUGGAAUAUCAUCAGGUAAAAUGAGUAAUCUAUAAUAUCACAAACUACAGAUAUGGAGGAAUUCUUGUGUUUUGAUUGAAUUAUUGGCCUUAAUUUUAAACUGCAGACAGGUAGGUGUAUGUAUAAUUUUAAAUGAUUCUUUUGCUGUUAGGAUGCUGCUGCUACUCCAACAGAUUUGUUUUCUUUUAGACUCUUUUUUUUUUUCCCUAACAUCAUUGUACAAUCUAAAUACAGUUUACUGUUGGAUUACACACUUACUGUUCCCAGAAAGGGUGCAUGCAUGUUGCAGCAUUUGGUGUUAAUGCUGGUUCAACACUACCUGAGUCUGUUUCCAUAUCCUAGUAUCCCAACAGUCCCUAAAGAAUAAAAAUCUUCAGACAUAAGUUUUUCAAACAUACUAGAGCCUUUGUCUGUUUAUGUUUCUUAAUGGAGAAGAUAGGCUAGAGAUAGUGGGAGAGCAAAUAUUUCUUUUCAGGUAGCCUGCCCUUGUAGGUUAAAAUUAAGGCUGUUCAAAUUGCUGCUAACAUCAACCUGCUUUGUAAUUAAAUUUAUAGCAUGAUCUUAUUUCAUAUAUCAGCCAAAAAAAAAAAAAAAGUCUGAAAAUUUAGAACAAGUCAAGAUCCCUUCUGUUUUGUUCUUCUCCAGUCUUCAUGUACUGCCUAGAAUAAUUAAGUUCCUGAAAGUUUUUGUUGAAUGGAGUGGAAAAAGUGUAAUGCUUGGGACAAAAUUUAAUUCCUUUAGGAGAUCUUUUCCAUGGAAAAAUACAGAUUAUUUCUGCAUUUGAGUUUCUCUUACAUGCAGUCAAAUCUCAAGGAUACAAAAAGAAGCAAACAAACAAGAUCCGUCAGCAUUUUCUUUAACUUUAAAUCACUGUAGUCAUUUUAUAAGCAACACCUUUGACUAGCUCAGACUCAUAUCAGAAAUCUGAGCAAAGCGAAAUGAUUUCAAAGAAUUUCCCUAACUCCAGAAAGAAAAAACAUUUUUCUAGCUGUAAAUUUGGUAACAGGAUGACAGUAAAACUGAGAUUCUAAAAGCCUGACUGAAGAGAAUAGAACACCUGUUUCAGUCCCCAUACCAAAAAGGAUAAGAAAUUGUAAUAUCAAGAGACAUAUUUAAAGCUUGUGUUUU